rnacentral:rRNA from 1 species
UACAGAGGUCUCAAGCGUUGUUCGGAUUCAUUGGGCGUAAAGGGUGUGUAGGUGGCGCGCUAAGUCGGGUGUGAAAUUUCGGAGCUUAACUCCGAAACUGCAUUCGAUACUGGCGUGCUUGAGGACUGGAGAGGAGGCUGGAAUUCAUGGUGUAGCAGUGAAAUGCGUAGAGAUCAUGAGGAAGACCCGUGGCGAAGGCGGAUCUCUGGACGGCUAACUGACGCUGAGGCGCGAAGGCCAGGGGAGCAAACAGG